rnacentral:snoRNA from 1 species
CCCUGAUGGAGAAACAAUUCUUGUGCGCGAGCGAGGCUAUGAGCGCACAUUUUGAGCCAAGAAAACAAAACUCAACAGGUCUGAGAC